UGGUGGAGUGGAUUACUGUUUGAUUUUGGGGUAGGCUGUCAACAGCGUGUACUGUGUGACACUAUCUGUUUUCUAAUGAUGUCAACAAUGCGUCUGGCAUAGAAUCAGGAACUAGAAUAGUAAUUUAAGAGGAUCUCUAUGGCGUAUAGACAUAUUUGAUGUCAUGAUUAUGAUGUCUUUAUGCCAUGGGUAAUGUCCAUAUUCACUUCAGUUCAUUGUGUCUGCGGAAGGUUCACAGACGGGUUUUCAACCGAGCUACAUUAUCAGAGACGCAAAGCGGGUGUCUUAACGGCUCACACAUCAUGGCUGACGACAACCAGAUACGGUUAAUUUAAGCCUACAUUUUUAAGUUUAAAAGAGAAAUCAAUAAGUCGAUUUUGAAUUUUCCUAAUUGCAUGUUGUUCAAACGGCAGUUCUUCCUUAAGGACAAAUGUGAUUGAUAUUAGGGCGGAAGUAUGAUUUGAAGUUUCAGCAAGUAAUUCCAACUGGGUAAUUGUUGUGGGAUGUCAGCAUGCAAUAAGCCUACUGCACGUGUAGAAUCAGUGCCAUGAAGGAUGGUGCAGGCCGGCAAGUUGCUACAGUAGCCUAGCAUGGAGUAGCAGAUGUGGAUCAGAUCUGGCUGACUUGUUCGCAGGCUAAAUUUCUCACCAGUCAUCCUCUGUAAUAAUUACCUCCCAGAGAGCAAUUACAAAGAACUAAUAAUGUUUUUAAAAGCACCAUUAUAACUAGCGACAUUACAGUCAGUCACCUCAGGCUGAGAAGGACUCGGUAGAACAGUGUUGGAUUUGUCCAUGUCUUGCUAAAUUAAUCUACCAUAACUGGGGAGACUUUAUACUGCAUUUUUAAAGCUGGAAUCCUUAAUGGUGAAACUACCACGUCCGAUAUUACAACAGCAGAGAAGUUACUGCAAACAACGAACACAGUUUUUUUCUGCUUUUCUGCUUCGUGCAUCAUUGCACGCAAGAUUAAACAUAAGUAUAUCCCACUGGACACGUACGUUAAUUCAACGUCUAUUUCACGUUGGUUCCAGAUAAUUCCCUUUAAAUGACUUGGAAACAACGUUGAUUCAACCAGUGUGUGACCAGUGGGAUGUAAGCCACCACUGCUUCGUCAACGAAAACAUUUCAGGGCCAUGCCGCUGUCUCAGGUGCUGCCCAGAUUCAAAACAUUUCAGGGCCAUGCCGCUGUCUCAGGUGCUGCCCAGAUUCGAAACAUUUCAGGGCCAUGCCGCUGUCCACUAACGCCUACAAACUCAGACAUUGACAGCUCAACAGUGCUGAAAUAGUUCGAGCCCCAGAGAACAUCAAUGAUUUUAAACUAGUUUAAGUGCAAGUGAUUAUAAUUUAUUGCACAUGUUAGUUUUGCUGAUUUGCAGCAUCAGAAUUAUCGCUAAUGGGUUGCAGCGAGUUACGUUUUUGAGCAUUUUUAAAAAUGUAUUUAUUUAUUUCACCUUUAUUUAACCAGGUAGGCAAGUUGAGAACAAGUUCUCAUUUACAACUGCGACCUGGCCAAGAUAAAGCAAAGCAGUUCGACACAUACAACAACACAGAGUUACACAUGGAGUAAAACAAACAUACAGUCAAUAAUACAGUUGAAGAAAAUAUAUAUACAGUGUGUGCAAAUGAGAGCAUGAAAUGGGAGUAUACCCCUGACUAUCAAAAGGAAGUUGGGGAGGAUAUGAAGGAUGAAACAGAGACUCAUGAGACCAAAUACAACAGGACAGGAAGCAAGGCUUAACGUAAGUCCAGUGGAGGUGGCAAGAAGAAUUCGGUGAAGGAGGACAGCAGCAUUUGUGCAGGGUCUUCUAAUGCACCCAGGUGUAGUUUCCAGGACAGGGAAUCUAACAUUGAGCAGCUGGAGAAGGAGCCUCAGAGGACUCUAAUGCCUUCUCUCAAUAUUGGGACAAGCUGUGCCCCAGUCCUCCUCCUUCCUGAGUAGUCUAACUAAUGAAACAAAAUGUCUCCUAUACUUAAUGGCUUAAUCAUUGGAUAGUGAUUCAGCAUGGCAUGAAGAAUAACCUGACGUUUGAGCAGCUCUCCAUGAUGUGUCUGAAGAUUGUUAAGGUCGUGACCCAGAUGGCCCUCCGCAUUCUGCUACCAGUGCUGGCUCGUAUCAUGGGGGUGAACCUGAGGAGUGGGACGACCUCCCCAGAAUCCCAGUGCUCUCUGACAGGGUCUAAGGACUCCUUGGACAGUCUGGAUGAGCGGGAGAAAAGGCUGCUGAUCAGUGAGAUGAACUACUGGACCAAGGAAAGGAGGAAUGGCAGGGCAGGGUGCCACGAAAAAUAUGUUGGCAGAACCAAACCACCAUGCUACUCCCCUAAGAGGGUCAUUGUUCCUUGUCCAGAUCUGGAAAAGGGUCCAAGGUCAAAGUGUGAGCUAGAGAUCAACCUCCCUGGUACUCCCAUCCCUGAUGAGGUGCCUGAUGAUUUGACCUUCCCCAUCGCCAGGAGCUCCUGCAUCGACAUCAGGGACUCUAUAAUGCAAGGGAUUUCUACGAGUGACCUAAGGACAAAGAUGAUGACACACACAGAUGAAGCCCUGCAUCGUAAUAGUCCAAGGACUGACAGUAACCGACAAUCGAGUGCCAAAGCCUCUCUUCGAUUCUUCACUCCCUCUUGCACCAGCAAGGGAACAUCCUUGGUAACAAAGGGAGUUGGGAUUGACAUGGAAGAGAAAGAGGGGUGCUACCCUAGCAGCUCUGGCCAUCUGAGGGAGUUAUUCAUCACUUCAGACAUCAGCAGUGCUACUGCAUUCCCUCUGCAGUCCUUGAUGGACUCCAGCAAAGAGGAUUUUAUCUGUUUGGUCACAAUACUGGUGAUAAGGUUGCUACCGAAGAUCGGUCCCUCAGCCCUAGAUGGACCUUCCCAACAGGCAGUAGACAUGACAGCAAUAUUUCAGCAGCUCAUCAGACAAGUUCUGUCUGAGUUCUGUGUUGCAUCUGGAUUCUCAAGGACACAGGCGCACCCUCAGGACCUGCACAUCCACACGGUGUUCAGAGGUGUACAUAAAAACCUCCUGGAUGCGUUUGGCUCUUAUAACGCCCUCCAAGCCACUCUGGCCUCCCAGGAUUCUGAAUUUGACAGAGUCCUGGUAAAAUCAUUGCCCAGCAGCUGGUGCAGGGAUCAAGGAGCCAUCAAGACCAGCAUCUACCGCCACAAACCCAGCAGACCAGGCUGAGACAGAGAGUGGGAAUGAGCAGAAAGCAAGAAGGAGCUUCCUUUGCUUCUCAAUGACCAAACUCAGGAUCAACAAUAAGCGUUCCAAGAGAGGAAACAAAAUGACUGCCAUUCAGUCCAGGACCAGACUGAGAUUCCCUCUACUGCAUAGCCCCCCACAUUGGGGAUCAUGGUGCUGAAUCUCCAGUUGGAGAGGUUUCUCGGUUCAUCUCUCAGCCUAUCAACAAGACCCUGAUUAUCGCUCCUUGAUAAUCAGGCUCUUUUCAGCAAUGAUGAAGCCGUUCGAGCGCUCCUCCUGAAAGAACCUGUUACUCUGUAUGAAGAAAUACUUUUGACAAGAGGGAUAUGCAUGUCUACCCUUUAAAGUCUGCUUGAUCAAAUAAAUGCAAACUAUUUUACAAGGGUUUUACAUGUUUUGGAUGAUUGCUAGCACUGAAGAAGCUUUUCUCACAUACUCUCUGGUCAGAUAGUGGAAGAGAACUGCGUUAGUUCCCCUGUGGUUACACAUCAUUUUG
rnacentral:lncRNA from 1 species